rnacentral:rRNA from 1 species
GACGAACGCUGGCGGCGUGCCUAAUACAUGCAAGUCGAGCGCAGGAAACUGACGGAACUCUUCGGAGGGAAGGCAGUGGAAUGAGCGGCGGACGGGUGAGUAACACGUAAGGAACCUCCCUCAAGGAUUGGGAUAACUCCGAGAAAUCGGAGCUAAUACCGGAUAGUUCAACGGACCGCAUGGUCCGCUGAUGAAAGGCGCUCCGGCGCCACCUUGAGAUGGCCUUGUGGUGCAUUAGCUAGUUGGUGAGGUAAAGGCUUACCAAGGCGACGAUCAGUAGCCGGCCUGAGAGGGUGUACGGCCACACUGGAACUGAGACACGGUCCAGACUCCUACGGGAGGCAGCAGCUAAGAAUCUUCCGCAAUGGGCGAAAGCCUGACGGAGCGAUGCCGCGUGAUUGAUGAAGGUAGAGAUAUUGUAAAAAUCUUUUCCAGGUGAGGAAUAAGUGUGGGAGGGAAUGCCCGCAUGAUGACGUUAACCUGGGAAUAAGCCCCGGCCAAUUACGUGCCAGCAGCCGCCGUAAUAC